rnacentral:lncRNA from 1 species
AACCUAUAUAAUUAUUGAAGAAUAUAUAACUCGUAUAUAUAUAUAUAUAUAUAUAUAAUUGAGUGGUAGCAGUUGGGUAAAAUUUUGGAGUAUUUUUCUUGUCAUCUUUUAACUAAUAUUGUUGGUUUCCUUCGGCACCAUCUCAAAAGCUGAAAAAUAUGUAUAUAUAUAUAUAUAAAUACUAAUGCAUACACGUAUGUAAAUAUAUAUAAUACUAAUGCAUACACGUAUGUAAAUAUGUGUGUAUGCGUGCGUGCGUGCGUGCGUGCGUGCGUGUGUGUGUAUAUAUGUAGAGGAAGAUUAUUAGUGCGGAAAGAAAGAAGCUGAAACAAUGGCUGCCACGAGCUCGGAAGGCUGUCGUACACCCAAAACUCAGAGAAUACCAGAGAGAUUAUCAUGUCCGCCGGCUCCCAUGAAGAGAAGAAAAAAUUCUCCCAAUUCUUCUUCUGUCACUUUCUUUGUUCCUUCAGAUCUUGACCUCUUCUUCUUCUUUGCAUUUCAAAAAUCCUCACCUUGACACAUAUAUACACACACACACACACACACAUAUAUAUAUAUAUAUAAAUACUCCUCUCUCUCUCUCUCUCUCUCUCUAUAUAUAUAUAUAUAUAUAUAUAUAUAUAUAGUUUUUCAUUAAUGUUUGUACCUUAUGGGUUUAUAUAUAUAUAUAUAGUUUUUCAUUAAUGUUUGUACCUUAUGGGUUUUGACUGUGGGCCAGGCCCAUUGAGAGCCCAUGAAAUUCUUCUCCAAUUUAUUGAAUUUCGUACUUGGUAAGUUUCAAUGUGUUUUCAAUUUGAAAUUUGUAACACACACACACACACACACAUAUAUAUAUAUACAUACAGUAGAGUGUUUGUACUGUGAAGCAGUAAAAUCAAAGCCAAAUUUUACUUUCUAACAUGUUUAAACACAAAAAUUAUAAAAUAACUUUAGGGUUAUUAACAAAAUUCAUCGUA